GACGAACGCUGGCGGCGUGCUUAACACAUGCAAGUCGAACGGAAAGGCCCUGCUUUUGUGGGGUGCUCGAGUGGCGAACGGGUGAGUAACACGUGAGUAACCUGCCCUUGACUUUGGGAUAACUUCAGGAAACUGGGGCUAAUACCGGAUAGGAGCUCCUGCUGCAUGGUGGGGGUUGGAAAGUUUCGGCGGUUGGGGAUGGACUCGCGGCUUAUCAGCUUGUUGGUGGGGUAGUGGCUGACCAAGGCUUUGACGGGUAGCCGGCCUGAGCGGGUGACCGGCCACAAUGGGACUGAGAUACGGCCCAGACUCCUACGGGAGGCAGCAGUGGGGAAUAUUGCACAAUGGGCGGAAGCCUGAUGCAGCAGCGCCGCGUGCGGGAUGACGGCCUUCGGGGUGUAAACCGCUUUCGCCUGUGACGAAGCGUGAGUGACGGUAAUGGGUAAAGAAGCACCGGCUAACUACGUG
rnacentral:rRNA from 1 species